GACAGAGGCCACGAACGUUGUUCGGAAUCACUGGGCCUAAAGCGCACGUAGGCGGCUAGGUCCGUCCGAUGUGAAAGCCCCCGGCUCAACCGGGGAAUUGCAUCGGAUACAGCCUGGCUUGAGGACGGUUGGGGUGAGUGGAACUCCUGGUGGAGCGGUGAAAUGCGUAGAUAUCAGGAGGAACACCGGUGGCGAAAGCGGCUCACUGGACCGUUACUGACGCUGAGGUGCGAAAGCUAGGGGAGCAAACGGG
rnacentral:rRNA from 1 species